rnacentral:tRNA from 1 species
AGGGGCGUAGCUCAAUUUGGCUAGAGCACUGGUCUCCAAAACCAGAGGUUGUGGGUUCGAGUCCCGCCGCCCCUG